rnacentral:lncRNA from 1 species
UCCACUCGCUUACUCAUGUUAGAAAAUAUUAUGUUUACUCUCGUUUACAUAUCGUCUAUAUAGGCUUAGUUUGGUAUUGAGGUGGAUUUAAUGCUAUUAGAUAAAAUGGAGUUGAAAAAAAGCAUACAGGAAUAUGCUUGUGCAUUUUCCGAUUGGAUCGCAGAAAGUAACCAACUAACCGCAAUAUGCAAAACAUAAUAUUACGUACGAAAACAAAUAAGGUAUUUUUCCAUCGUCGUUUCUCACCGCACGUAACGCAAUCUCUCCGCAAUCCCAAACAAAGCCAUAGUCGGAUAGAAGUGUGGUUUUAAAUUUCUAAUGAUGGGCCGCUAAUUGAAAGU